rnacentral:rRNA from 1 species
GAUGAACGCUGGCGGCGUGCCUAAUACAUGCAAGUCGAGCGAACGGACGAGAAGCUUGCUUCUCUGAUGUUAGCGGCGGACGGGUGAGUAACACGUGGAUAACCUACCUAUAAGACUGGGAUAACUUCGGGAAACCGGAGCUAAUACCGGAUAAUAUUUUGAACCGCAUGGUUCAAAAGUGAAAGACGGUCUUGCUGUCACUUAUAGAUGGAUCCGCGCUGCAUUAGCUAGUUGGUAAGGUAACGGCUUACCAAGGCAACGAUGCAUAGCCGACCUGAGAGGAUGAACGGCCACACUGGAACUGAGACACGGUCCAGCCUCCUACGGGAGGCAGCAGUAGGGAAUCUUCCGCAAUGGGCGAAAGCCUGACGGAGCAACGCCGCGUGAGUGAUGAAGGUCUUCGGAUCGUAAAACUCUGUUAUUAGGGAAGAACAUAUGUGUAAGUAACUGUGCACAUCUUGACGGUACCUAAUCAGAAAGCCCCGGCUAACUACGUG